UGGGGAAUAUUGCGCAAUGGGGGUAACCCUGACGCAGCCAUGCCGCGUGAAUGAAGAAGGCCUUCGGGUUGUAAAGUUCUUUCGGUGAUGAGGAAGGCUUAAAUGUUAAUAGCAUUUAGGAUUGACGUUAGUCACAGAAGAAGCACCGGCUAACUCCGUGCCAGCAGCCGCGGUAAUACGGAGGGUGCGAGCGUUAAUCGGAAUAACUGGGCGUAAAGGGCACGCAGGCGGUGACUUAAGUGAGGUGUGAAAUCCCCGGGCUUAACCUGGGAAUUGCAUUUCAGACUGGGUCGCUAGAGUACUUUAGGGAGGGGUAGAAUUCCACGUGUAGCGGUGAAAUGCGUAGAGAUGUGGAGGAAUACCGAAGGCGAAGGCAGCCCCUUGGGAAUGUACUGACGCUCAUGUGCGAAAGCGUGGGGAGCAAACAG
rnacentral:rRNA from 1 species